UACAGAGGUCUCAAGCUUUGUUCGGAUUCAUUGGGCGUAAAGGGCGCGUAGGCGGCGGGGUAAGUCGGGUGUGAAAUCUCAGGGCUCAACCCUGAAACUGCACUCGAUACUGCUCUGCUUGAGGACUGGAGAGGAGACUGGAAUUCACGGUGUAGCAGUGAAAUGCGUAGAUAUCGUGAGGAAGACCAGUGGCGAAGGCGGGUCUCUGGACAGUUCCUGACGCUGAGGCGCGAAGGCCAGGGGAGCAAACGGG
rnacentral:rRNA from 1 species